GAAGAAUUUUACUUCAAGGGACAGAAGCAGUGGGAAGAGAAUGGGAGACUCUAAGAGAUGGCUUCUCAAAGACAUUAUUAUUUAAAGAGAAAACUAAAGUGUAAAUUAGGAAUCAAGGAAAGACAGGAAGUCUGGACCCCUGAAAGGCCCCUGCAUUGCAUUAGUGGUUGAGCCCUGAGCCAAGUUCUCUGCAAAGGACAAUCUGCAAUGGGCAUGUGGUACAUGUUCAGUCCUCUCUCCCAGAUAAAAGAAGAAGUUCUCUAACAAGGAAUGAGUGGCAAGUGAGUGACUUGUGAACAGAAAAUGGAAAUGUUCUUCCCGUAUCUUUCCCUCCGCAAGAGUGGACCACAAUGGUAU